rnacentral:hammerhead_ribozyme from 1 species
GUACUGCUGAAGUGUCACAAACUAGAACGAAACGGCUGUCCAGUAC